rnacentral:rRNA from 1 species
GCCGCGGUAAUACGUAGGGUGCAAGCGUUAAUCGGAAUUACUGGGCGUAAAGCGUGCGCAGGCGGUGCUGUAAGACAGGCGUGAAAUCCCCGGGCUCAACCUGGGAAUUGCGCUUGUGACUGCAGUGCUGGAGUGCGGCAGAGGGGGAUGGAAUUCCGCGUGUAGCAGUGAAAUGCGUAGAGAUGCGGAGGAACACCGAUGGCGAAGGCAGCCUCCUGGGAUGACACUGACGCUCAUGCACGAAAGCGUGGGGAGCAAACAG